rnacentral:rRNA from 1 species
AAUGAACGCUGGCGGCGCGCCUAAUACAUGCAAGUCGAGCGAGAAGACGUAGCAAUACGUUUGUAAAGCGGCGAACGGGUGAGGAAUACAUGGGUAACCCUACCCUAGAGUGGGGAAUAACUAGCCGAAGGUUAGCUAAUACCGCGUACGCUCCUUGGACUUCGGUUCAGGGAGGAAAGCGAUACCGUGGGUAUCGCGCUCUUGGAUGGGCUCAUGUCCUAUCAGCUUGUUGGUGAGGUAACGGCUCACCAAGGCUUCGACGGGUAGCUGGUCUGAGAGGACGAUCAGCCACACUGGCACUGCGACACGGGCCAGACUCCUACGGGAGGCAGCAGUAAGGAAUAUUGCGCAAUGGGCGAAAGCCUGACGCAGCGACGCCGCGUGGGGGAUGAAGGUCUUCGGAUUGUAAACCCCUUUCGGGAGGGAAGAUGGAACGAGCAAUCGUUCGGACGGUACCUCCAGAAGCAGCCACGGCUAAC